rnacentral:snoRNA from 1 species
GAAGCAGCUCGUGUUACCGCUCGAAUGGAUGCGCUGUGCAUCUGCUCCCGUAUUCGAGGUCUUGUGUGUCAAAGGGUUGCAAGACGA